rnacentral:rRNA from 1 species
AACGAGCGCUGGCGGCAUGCCUAACACAUGCAAGUCGAACGAGACCUUCGGGUCUAGUGGCGCACGGGUGCGUAACGCGUGGGAACCUGCCCUUAGGUUCGGAAUAACUCCCCGAAAGGGGUGCUAAUACCGGAUAAUGUCUUCGGACCAAAGAUUUAUCGCCUUUGGAUGGGCCCGCGUUGGAUUAGCUAGUUUGUAGGGUAAAAGCCUACCAAGGCGACGAUCCAUAGCUGGUCUGAGAGGAUGAUCAGCCACACUGGGACUGAGACACGGCCCAGACUCCUACGGGAGGCAGCAGUGGGGAAUAUUGGACAAUGGGCGAAAGCCUGAUCCAGCAAUGCCGCGUGAGUGAUGAAGGGCUUAGGGUUGUAAAGCUCUUUUACCCGGGAUGAUAAUGACAGUACCGGGAGAAUAAGCUCCGGCUAACUCCGUG